rnacentral:rRNA from 1 species
ACAAUAUAUGGUAUAUUCCUGCCCAGUGACUCUAGUUCAACGGCCGCGGUAUCUUAACCGUGCAAAGGUAGCAUAAUCAUUUGCCUAUUAAUUGUAGGCUAGUAUGAAUGGAUAAACGAAAUAAAAACUGUCUCAAUUAAUAACCUAAAAACUAUUUUUCACAUGAAGAAAUGUGAAUAAAUUCGAAGGACAAGAAGACCCUAUAGAGCUUUAUUUAAACAUAUUUUAAAAAUAUAUAAAAUUUGAUUGGGGCGAUCCUGGAACUAUAAAACACCCAUAAAUAAAUAGAUUCUUAAAUCAAUUAUAUGACCCUAAAAAGAUCAUAAAACUAAGCUACCUUAGGGAUAACAGGCUAAUCCCAUUAAAGAGUUCAUAUCUAUAAUGGGGCUUGGCACCUCGAUGUUGGCUUAGGGUAUCAAUAUAGCGCAAAAGUUAUAUAAUGAUGGUUUGUUCAACCAAUAACC